AUGUGUAUAUACAUAUGAGCGUAUAUGUACACAUGCACAUAUAUACAUAUGUUGUUUAGGACAAACUUUGGCACAUGGGAAAUGCUGUUCACUAGAUAUUUCCAUCUCUCCCCCCUUCAGACACAUGGAAGAACUACACUUCUCUGCACUUCCAUUUAGAGGUGAUCAUGGGACAGCCUUCAGUGAAUAAAAUAUUAACCAAAUAUAUGGACUGCUAGCCAGACUAAUAAUAAAGAAGAAAGGAGAGAAGAAUCAAAUAGACGCAGUAAAAAAUGAUGAAGGGGAUAUCACCACUGAUCCCACAGAAAUACAAACUACCAUCAGAGAAUACUACAAACACCUCUGUGCAAAUAAACUAGAAAAUCUAGAAGAAAUGGAUAAAUUCCUGGACACAUACACCCUUCCAAGACUAAACCAGGAAGAAGUUGAAUCCCUGAAGAGACCAAUAACAAGUUUUGAAAUUGAGGCAGUAAUUAAUAGCCUACCAACCAAAAAAAGCCCAGGACCAGACAGGUUCACAGCCGAAUUCUACCAGAGGUACAAAGAGGAGCUGGUACCAUUUCUUCUGAAACUAUUCCAGACAAUGGAAAAAGAGGGACUCCUCUCUAACUAUUUCAUGAGGCCAGCAUCAUCCUGAUACCAAAACCUGGCAGAGACACAACAACAAAAAAAGAAAAUUUUAGACCAAUAUUCCUGAUGAACAUAAAUGCGAAAAUCCUCAAUAAAAUACUGGCAAUCUGAAUUCAGCAGCACAUCAAAAAGCUUAUCUACCGUGAUCAAGUAGGCUUCAUCACUGGGAUGCAAGGCUGGUUCAACAUAUGGAAAUCAAUAAACGUAAUCGAUCACAUAAACAGAACCAAUGACAAAAACUACAUGAUUAUCUCAAUAGAUUCAGAAAAGGCACUUGAUAAAGUAAAAUUCAACAACUCUUCAUGCUAAAUCUCUCAACAAACUAGGUAUUGAUGGAUUGUAUCUCAAAAUAAUAAAAGCUAUUUAUGACAAACCCACAGCCGAUAUCACACGGAAUGGGCAAAAGCUGGAAGCAGUCCCUUUGAAAACCGGCACAAGACAAGGCUGUGCCCUCUCUCAUCGCUCCUAUUCAGCAUAGUAUUGGAAGUUCUGGCCAGGGCAAUCAGGCAAGAGAAAGAAAUAAAGGGUAUUCAAAUAGGAAAAGAGGAAGUCAAAUUGUUUCUGUUUGCAGAUGAAAUGAUCGUGUAUUUAGAAAACCCCAUCGUCUCAGCCCAUAAUAUCUUUAAGCUGAUAAGCAACUUCAGCAAAGUCUUAGGAUACAAAAUCAAUGUGCAAAAAUCACAAACAUUCCUAUAUGCCAAUAAUAGACAAACAGAGAGCCAAAUCAUGAGUGAAUUCCCAGUCACAAUUGCUACAAAGAGAAUAAAAUGCCUAGGAAUACAACUUACAAGGGAUGUGAAGGACCUCUUCAAGGAGAACUACAAACCACUGCUCAAGGAAAUAAGAGAGGACAUAAACCAAUGGAAAAACAUUCCAUGCUUAUAGGUAGGAAGAAUCAAUAUCAUAAAAAUGGCCACACUGUCCAAAGUAAUUUAUAGAUUCGGUGCUAUCCCCAUCAAUCUACCAUUGACUUUCCUCAUGGAAUUAGAAAAAACUACUUUAAAUUCCAUAGGGAACCAAAAAAGAGCCCAUAUAGCCAAGACCAUCCUAAGCAAAAACAACAAAGCUGGAGGCAUCAUGCUACCUGACUUCAAACUAUUCUAUAACGCUAUCGUAACCAGAACAGCAUGGUACUGUUACCAAAACCGACAUAUAGACCAAU
ensembl:lncRNA novel transcript